rnacentral:misc_RNA from 1 species
UGGCGCUCCUCCGGCCCUGCUGUUCUAUCUGUCUCUCUCUCUGUCUCUCCCUCUGACUUUUUAUUUUCUUUUGUUCCUUUGUAACCAAAAAUUUCUUUCUUUUUGUUAAUCUUUUUAUUGUUCUUUACCAUCUUCUUCUUCUUCCUCUUCUUCUAGUCAUACAUAGAACCACAUAGAACGGUUUCAGUACCUCAAUUUGGCCGCUGAAACAUAGACGCACACAAACAGGGGAGGAAAUCAAUAUAUAACUUGUGGGAUUCUCAGGAACCUCCAUUUCUCAAUCUAAAGCUCAGUCCUGGUUUUUAUGUUACAUGGCCUUUUCAAAGUCAGUGCAGAGAUUAAGCUUUUUCUUGGUUGAAAAUUCCUGGUUAUUGUAAAUAUUGCUUUCCUGUACCAGGAGUUCAGUACCAAAAAGAAAAACUUGAAGGACUUCAUUACAGAACGAACACCAUGUCAUCUCUGCUAGCAAGAACAGGAAGACAUCGACAACGUUAUGAGAACAAUGUUCGCCUUGUUUCUGGGUAAUAUUCCUUCUUCUGUUCAUGUAAAUUCUUAGUGUUUUUGUUGUUUUUUAGUGAUGGGGGGAGGAGGGUUCCUGGGUACUUCCUAUUUGCUUCCUCUGUUAUCAAUUGUUUGGAUGAUUUCUUGUUUUCUUUUUGUGCCAUGCAUUUUUCUUGUUUUUCUCAGCUUCAGUAUUGAAUUUGGCCUAUGCUGUUGCCCCACUUGUUACGGGAAACUGUAAAUUUUUGUCGUAUUAUAGCCGUAACCUUAUCCCUCACUUCCUACUCCAUGUCCUCAAAAGAGAAUUUCAAAUUCUAUCGAGAUAACUAGUCCAUAUAUUUUUAGGCUUUAUAUCGUUGACUCUUUCUCUCAAUUUGGAUCUGGCUUGAUUUAUUUUGUCCUAUAUGUGGAAAUUGUUAACUAAAAAUCAUAUUAAAUUAGUUAUAACCAGUUGGGCUUCGCUUUGCCUGCCCUUCAUUAUCAGAGGCAGCAGGGUUUAGGUGGAUGAUUUGAAAGGUGAUUGUGAUAUGUGUUUCAUUCCCUUCAUGGAGUUAUCAGCCAACUCUCCUUCUAAAUAUUAACCAAGUUUGCCCAAAAAAAAAAAAGGUUUGUGGGUAAUUUUGAUAUUGUGGCCAUUUUCUCAAUCAAUGAAGGAUUUAUUGAGAUCUUCUCAAACAUGAAUUAUAAACAUGUUUUGUAUAGUAUCAAUCGCUGAAUUGAUGACCAUUAUAGUUUUAUCAUCUAAAAAUAUUACUACUCAAUUAUCAGAAAAAUAUUAAAUUAAUAGAAAAAAUUUUGAGCUUCUGCAGAAGAUAUAUCUUGUUUUUCACCGAUUUGAGAGGAUCUGAAUCCGAUAUUGUUUCAUAUGCUAGGAAACAAUAUCAAUGGUCUGCAAUUGGGAAAAUCCCCUUUAAAUUUGCACUAUAUACAAUUCAUGAUCUGCAAGUACCUGCUGCAUAUGAGAAAAUGGUUCAUGGGCUCCUGCUGACUUGUAUUUUGUGUGCAUCAGAUGUAUUCCUUACAGACUAAGAAAAGACGACGACGAAGAAAGCAAUGACUUAGAAAACAGGAUAGAAGUUCUCAUGGUUUCCUCGCCGAAUCGAACUGAUCUUGUGUUUCCUAAGGUAUGACCUGGUUUUUUUUUUCAUCAGGUUUUCAGAAUAGAAACUGUUAUUGGUUGCUGUUCUUUCGCCUGUUUAGUGCUUGCCCUUCUUUUUAUUCAGUUUCCUUCUUUUCUUCUGUUGUCAUUUGUCAGGGUGGAUGGGAAGAUGAUGAGACUGUGUACGAAGCAGCAUGUCGAGAAGCCAUAGAAGAAGCAGGAGUGAAAGGAAUACUCAGAGAAGUACCCCUUGGAGUUUGGCACUUCAAAAGCAAGAGUAGACAAGAUCCUUGCACCCUGGAAGGAGGCUGCAAAGGAGUCAUGUUUGCUUUAGAGGUGAUCGAGGAGCUCGAUAGUUGGCCUGAACAGGAAAAUCGCGAUAGGAAAUGGCUAAACAUAAAAGAUGCAUUUGAAUUCUGUCGAUAUGAAUGGAUGAGAGAAGCGCUGGAAAUUUUUCUAGGAGUCAUAGCAGAAGACAAGAAACCUGAGAUGGAGGAAGAGAUAGUGGAACUCUCUUCAGUGCCUGUGCCAGAAGUUGUUGCAGACUGUGCAAUACUAUCAUCAAACUGCUGUGCAAAGCCUGUGAACGGUCAGCACGAUGGUGUGAUUUCAUUCCCCUGGCAAAUUCCUCUCAAGGGCUUGCCUCUGACAUAAUGGAUGUUCUACCUCUAGCAAUGUGUGUAUGUAGUAGAUUCUAUAGGAUGAUUCCAUAGUGUCCAGUAUGUUGAUUUACUAGGAAUUUGAAGUGGGAUCAUCUCCUUCUUUUAAUUUCUGUUCAUUGUUGACAUUUUUCGUAUUCCUUUCUCAGGAAGAAUUUGCAGGUCUAACUUUGUCAUAUCCAUAUGACAGAAAGUUGUGUAUGACUUUGUACUGGCCCUGGGAAGAAGUGCAUAACCUUAAUUAGACUCUUGGCUCAACUUAUUCAUCUUCC